AGUUUGGCAUUGCUUCCUAAGGUGCUUCUGGAGCUGCUUCUGCUUUUAGGCCAAGAGCAUGGUGUUUGGUAAAAUAUCUAAAAGCAGCUUUUAGUUGAAAUGGCUUCUCCGUAAAGCCGAAAUUGAGAAGCUACAAUUUGUAGCUUUGAGGAAUUGCUUUGGGAAAACACGGAGGAAGAACAGUGCAUAACUUAAUGAAAUUUUACCUUCCUGCCAAUUCUGUCCUCCUCCUUUUCUGAAAAUUACAUCGAAACAAAAGAUAGGGAUUUCUCCAUCGCGAGGUAGUCACUCUCUUUGCCGUCAUUAUCAUUAUCAUUCCACAUCUCCUCCUGCCUCUUCUUCAAUUCGUGGAUUCUCGCCGGCUAGCUUCCUUCCUCUGAAGAUAGAAUCAAACGGAAUCCAUCUUCACACCAUCGCCAUCGCCAUCGCCUCUCUUCAGUCUGGGUUCAAAUUUCAAAACGACGAAGUCGCCAUCGCCAUUGUCCUCUCUGGCUCUCCUCUGUCCUCUCUGGCUCUCUCCCUCUCCCAGGCUCCAGCACGGUCACACAUCGACUGAGCAAUUUGCUCUCUUCGACUCUUCGGUCUCUUCCUGAAGCCGUCAAGCAACAAAGCAGAUUCUGGGUUUGACUCUUCUCUCUCAGUCAGUCGCUGAUUCUUCAAGGCUUAAGCUCGGGCUAGGAUUAUCUUUGGAUUAAAUGCCCUCCCGGGACGAACUUUACAGAGUGAUGCCUCUGCAACUGGAUCUUGGAACUUUACCAAUGCCGAAUCUUUCAUUCGCUACACUGUCAAACACAGCUACUCUAUAGCUUGAUGGGAGCUCGGGAAUGAGCUAUGUGGGCGUGGAAUUGGAACCACAGUAGUAGAAAGUCAGUAUGUCAAUGAUACAGCUUCUGUGCAUAAGAUAGUACAGAAUGUAUACAAGGGUGUUGGACCAAAGCCACUAAUCUUAUCACCUGGAGGGUUCUUUGAUGCACCUUGGUUCAAAGAACUUGCAGAUAAAUCCACCAGUUCAUUAGAUGCGGUCACACACCAUAUAUAUAAUCUAGGGCCAGGAGACCUUGUAAGGGUGGGGUUAAAUUUCUUGAGGAUGGAACAAAAGAGUAGCAAGAGGCACAGGAGCUUCAUGAUCUAUAGCUAUGAAAAAAGUGAAGGGCACAAGACCUUGUGAUUAUAGGUUUGAUCACGCCAUCUAAAGCUAUGAAGAAAAGUGAAGAGCUCAGGUUCUAAAACCCAAGUUUUAUGUAAACAUUGCGCAAAGGUUCAAACUUGCCUCAUGUUGGAGU